rnacentral:lncRNA from 1 species
CCCAAGAAAGGAGUCAAGUUGUAGACUGUCCUGGGAUUUGCCCAAAAACCCAGUUUCCCUAUGGGAGUGUUUUUGCUGGUGAACUUCAGCCAUCUUAGAUGUCAGAGCUGAAAACAACUUUUUGAACCACUUCUCUAAAGAUUACAGUGCUCUUUCUAUCUACAGAUAUAUUUUUAUUCCCCUUCAGACAUGGCUAUUAGAUGCACCUUUCACAAUUUUUCUAUUAAGUAAACAGAAUCACUUAAAGCUCUUAUAUUUAAAAGAGAGAGAGAAUCUAUUAACCAAAUCCAGAAAUACUGCAAUUUAAUCUCAUUUCUAUUCUCUCUCAACAUCGAACACCAAAAGAACUUUCCCAGUCAGUGGGGCAUUUUCCCCUUUGAUGUGACACGUUCAGUAAAGUCAUAGCCAUGGAUUUCCUGAGCCGUUAGUCUCCGCGGCAUUGAGAGCCUGCCACACUUCUUUGCAGGUUCGGUUUGAUCAAAGAUACACCAGGGCACGUAGAGUCUUCAGACUCCACUUUCAUAUUCAUUCUUUGGAAGUUCAGGAUCUCUCAACUGAGCAGCCCUUCUCAGGCCCUGAAACACCAAGCCGAUUACCAUUUUCUUUUGACAUGGAGUGUUUUAUGAGACAUUUUACACAAUGGCAGAUGGGUCUCUUUGGGGGAAACGCUCUAUGUCUCCCAAAAAAUCUGCCAGGAUUAUUUUCUCGAUUAUUCUAAAAGGUCACAACUAAAGAACAGGUUUUCAGCACUCAUCCAUUUUUCAAAAAUAUGUGACGAUUAUCAUCAACAUAUAAGAUGGUAGAAUUGACACUGAAGACAAUGGAGACAAAGCUCCUUGACCUUGAGAAACUCAUAGAUUUGACCAAGAAAGCCAAUCCCAGUUUUUCACCUUCACAAUUCCCACUUUAGGAAUCAAUACUCUAUAUAAGCUCUGGGCUGAAAAAAUAAACUAGAACCACAAGUUGCAGCAUCUGCUUCCAGAGACUGUGCUUAGGAACUUAAAAUUAAGCUACUAUGUAAGGGCAGGCCUGCUCUUAACUCUUAGAGUCGGACUUGAAUGUCAAAGUGCAGACUUGAAACCAUCAUGAGCUCACACGGUCCCACCCAUCCUGGAAGCAGCAUGUGCUUUGCAGUUAAAGUCUCUCGGUCCAGUAAUUGCAAAAACGAAACCCGAAUCAGAUGAUGUGGUUUCAGCCAACAACAGCCCCUUCUCGGAGUCUGUAAUCGUUGUUUAUACUUUCCCAUGUCAGUCUGCGGGAGUCUCCCUCUGCUUUUCUUCUCCCGUUGGCAGCUGGUGCCGUGAAUGUUUGGUUGAAACAAACAUUCUUUCCCGGGCAUGCACGUCUGUCCCCUCGCUCUGGGCGACCAGUGCACAUCCUUGAAUUAUGUAUGUCUUGCGCAGUUCUCAGAUUGGGAAUGCCAAUGCUUAGGAGGGGCAGCCUCUGAAAGGGACUGAGGAUGAUUCUUUCGCCCCUGUGCCACACUGAGGUGUCCCUUCCCCUUGACGAGCCUUGACUGAUGAUGCCUCUUGUGUUUCAUCUCGGGGACAAUAUGGAGCUCACAUUACAAUAUGACUUCUGGGGCCUUUGAAGUCCCAGCUGCAGGGGCAGCAGCACUGUAGUGAUUAGGGGCCAGCCCUCUCUGGGAAGGGGAUGGCUGCACAGUUGAAUACGAAAUGCAAUUAAAAAGGAGCACCUGGGCUGAAAUCGAAACAAAUAAUGGGACUUUGGCUCCAAGCAGAAGGGGUCUCAUUUAAUCACACAAGAAUGUUCAUCUCUACAAAGUGCUUGAUUCAGAAAAACCCAAAACUUUAAAAAACAAAAGCAAAACGAAACCAAAAACUUGCCAGCACAGCAAAGCAAUGCACGACUUCUUGCUAACACCUUCAGGGCCGCCCGUGGUAGAACGAAGUUAGCAGAGGCGCAUCUCGGGACACUGGCUCCUUCGGUGACCCAAUCACUGCAGUCAUCGCUCCCUUCUUCCUCCCCAAGUGCGAGAAUCUUGAAUUCUGGAUCUUAGAGCUGGAAGUAAACUCAGGAGAUCAUCUUGUUCAGACCUGUCACCUAAGGUAGUGCUUCUCAAACUUUACUCUGCACGCACAUCCCCCGGGGAUCUUGUUAAAAUGCAGAUUUUGACUCAGCGGACCUGGGCGGGGCCUGGAAUUCUGCAUUUGUAAUCAGCUCUGGUGAUGCAGACCCCACUAGUCCCUAGACAUCAUUCUGGUUAUCAAACAUAAGGAAAGGUCCCUACUUCACAGAUGAUGUGCUUGAAGUCCAUUAAAGAUGACACACUUCAGGGGGCUGGCCCGGCCCCAUGGCCAAGUGGUUAAGUUCACGCGCUCCGCUGCAGCAGCCCAGGGUUUCUCUGGUUCCGAUCCUGGGCACGGACAUGGCACCGCCCAUCAGGCCAUGCUGAGGUGG